rnacentral:rRNA from 1 species
GAUGAACGCUGGCGGCGUGCCUAACACAUGCAAGUCGAACGAAGCACCUCUCCCGAUGCUUGACACAGCUUGCUGUAGAUUGAUUCAUUUGAGGUUACUGAGUGGCCGACGGGUGAGUAACGCGCGGGUAACCUGCCUCAUAGAGGGGGACAACAGUUGUAAACGACUGCUAAUACCGCAUAGUAAGAAGAAUUCGCAUGUUUUCUUCUUGAAAGACUUAUCGUUAUGAGAUGGACCGGCGUCUGAUUAGCUAGUUAGUCAGGUAACGGCUUACCAAGGCGGCGAUCGGUAGCCGGGUAGAGGAGGUACGCGCCAGCAUUGGAAGGGAGGCACGGGCCGAACACCUACGGGAAGCAGCGGUGGGGAAUAUUGGCAAAGGGGGGAGAGUCAGGUAGGGCGACGGCGCGUGAAUGAAGAAGUAUUUCGGUAAGUAAAGGUCUAACAGCAGGGGCACAAAUGGCGGGACCUUACUAAGAAAGCCCGGCUAACUUCGUG